rnacentral:rRNA from 1 species
AACAAAACGCUGGCGGCGUGCCUAACACAUGCAAGUCGUACGAGAAAGUCGGCUUCGGCCGAUGAGUACAGUGGCGCACGGGUGAGUAGCGCGUGGGUAAUCUGCCCCCCGGUCAGGAAUAACCCGCCGAAAGGCGGGCUAAUACCCGAUAACACUGACGCUCCGCGGAGCGUCUUUCAAAGAAGGCCUCUGUUUACAAGCUUUCGCCGGAGGAUGAGCCCGCGUACCAUUAGCUAGUUGGCAGGGUAAUGGCCUACCAAGGCUACGAUGGUUAGCUGGUCUGAGAGGAUGGCCAGCCACACUGGAACUGAGACACGGUCCAGACUCCUACGGGAGGCAGCAGUGAGGAAUCUUGCGCAAUGGGGGAAACCCUGACGCAGCAACGCCGCGUGAGUGAGGAAGGCCUUCGGGUCGUAAGCUCUGUCAGAUGGGAAGAAAUGGGAUGGGGGCUAAGUAUCGCCCCUCCUUGACGGUACCGAUCAGAGGAAGCGACCGGCUAACC